rnacentral:rRNA from 1 species
GACGGAGGAGGCGAGCGUUAUCCGGAAUUAUUGGGCGUAAAGCGUCCGUAGGUGGCUGAGCAAGUCUUUUGUCAAAUAGUGGAGCUUAACUCCAUAGAGGCGGGAGAAACUGUUUAGCUUGAGUAUGGUAGGGGUAGAGGGAAUUCCAGGUGUAGCGGUGAAAUGCGUAGAUAUCUGGAAGAACACCAGUGGCGAAGGCGCUCUACUGGGCCAUAACUGACACUGAGGGACGAAAGCUAGGGGAGCGAAAGGG